UGAUUUCAGCGCCGUGUGAUUCCUCAGCUUUCUGCCCCAUCUACUGCUGCCAGUGCACAUAGAGUGCGCAAGGCAUAUAUGCUUCUCCAAAGAUCGGCAGGUGGGAAGACUGAAACUAGAGAAGGCCAUUCUUAGACAAGCAAAAAGUAUUGCUACAGACUUAGUUUAAUUAUACUCGGAUUUGAUUUUGAUGUGUAUAUAUUGAAUAGGACUAUAGGAGUGAUCUGUCAUUACUGUGGGAUGAAAUAGGGUAGCUAGAAGCUACAUUGUGUGUACAUAUUCACAUUUGUGUAAACAAAUGAAGUAGCUAGAAGCUACAGUUAUGUUCCAAUACAAUGCAUUUAUUUUUUUAA